rnacentral:rRNA from 1 species
UACGUAGGGUGCAAGCGUUGUCCGGAAUUAUUGGGUGUAAAGAGCUCGUAGGCGGUUUGUCGCGUCGAAUGUGAAAACCCGGGGCUCAACCCCGGGCCUGCAUUCGAUACGGGCAUCACUGGAGUUCGGCAGGGGAGACUGGAAUUCCUGGUGUAGCGGUGAAAUGCGCAGAUAUCAGGAGGAACACCGGUGGCGAAGGCGGGUCUCUGGGCCGAUACUGACGCUGAGGAGCGAAAGCGUGGGGAGCAAACGGG